CCUCUUUUGUGCUUUGGUUCACUGAGGAUGACAAGUCAGGGGGACUUUGGUUGAAAAUAUCUGGGAAAGAGGGAAGUCAAGAAAAAAGGCCUUUUUAUUUUUAAGAGGUGGCAUUGACUCUUCUAUCUAAUUCAAUUAUCUUCAGAGUUUCAUUUCCUUCUAUUUCAGAGUUGACUCUGUGUUGCUGUAGGCCCAGCAGCACUGAUUUCUCUAGCCGUGUCUCAUUGGCUAUUGUGAACUCCAUGAUAUCAUCCUGCUGCAUCACCGGCACAGCUUCCAGAGCUAGCGCCGCAUACUUGGGGGUGUCUGCAUGCCUGUCGUUUCGAUCUGCAGAUGAGAUCGGGUUUGACGACUCCUCCAGUUGGUGAGGCUCUUCAUAAAUCAGCAGACUUCGUGACCUCACAAUGGAGUCUGUGUAGGACUCUGGUGAGGAAUGCUGCCUGGGCAACACCAUCUUUGUAGCAGAAGGAUAUGGUCCAUAGCUCUGAGAGAAGCUGCCAAAAACAACUGCAAAGCACAGCACCACCAUCAUAAGACAGGUCCCUGUCUGUGUGCUAGCUGCCUUACAUGAACGGGACACCUUCCCAGCAACCAUGGCCUGGAGUCUCUGCAGCUGCUGCAGAAGUGUUCUGUUAGUACUCUCCAGGACUUCAACCUUCUUACGUAGCUCACUGUUUUCAUUUGAACAGUUCUCAACUUUUUUUUCCAGACUGUCCAUGUAUUCUUUCUUUUUUCUUCUGCUUUCCUGGGCAGAGAUCUUGUUCUUUAUUUUUCUGCGGAUUUUCUUCAGCACUUUCUCCUCUGCUUUCGUCAGGGGCAGUUUGGUAGGGAUUGGGUACCCCUCUGCUAUCAGUGUCCUCUUCUCCUCCUCUGUCAGGAUGAGUGGGCCAGUCCCCUGCAACUUAUGUGGUGCAGUCAGGAGAGGGGAAUUGGAGAGCGCUGAAGCUGUGCGUGACACCACUUUAGCUGCGGCUUGCAGCUGGAUUGGGCUUGAAGGAGGGAGAGAUCUAGCUGGGCUCUGCCCUCCUUCAGAGUCACUGCCAUGACUGCU
rnacentral:lncRNA from 1 species